UAACACGUAAUUUCGGUUUGAGUUGAGUUAUACUGAAACAAAUGUAUAUCGUUUGGGUUCGGUUUUUUCUGUGUCGGUUUGGAUUUUACUGAAGUAAAAUACAAAAAAGAAUAGAAACAUAAGACACAUGUAAGUUAAACAAAAUAUUUCAAGCAGGUUCAAUCAGUACAUUCAUACUUCCAAUUUCUUUAUCAUGAACGUAUCUACUUGUAUGUCUAAGUUCUCUCACACACUCAUUCGAUUGCAACAGAUAAUAGCUACACAAGGUAAACAUAAGAAACAUGUCACUUAAACUUAGUAGAAAUGUUUGCAACAACACACCAAUAACGAUAAUAGAAACAUAAAGUUUUUAAAUGAAAGACAAACUGAAGAUAAGUGAAAGUUUUACUGUGAAACCAAAAAAGAAAUAGAACAAAGCAGAAAAUAACAACAUAGAAACUGAAAGACUUAAACUGGAACCAGCUUGUGGUGAUGGAACUUAGAAGCAAAGACAAAGAGAGGUAGAUCAAUAAUCAAACCAAAUUUUAAGCAAAUAUGUUACAAGUAAGAUGACAUACCUCUUUCUAUUUUUUAUUUCUCUUCAAUUUGCUUAAGGAUUUGUUCAUUUGUAAGCACCAUUGACUCACAAUGAAUGUCUUGCUUCAACCAUUGCUCAGUACACAUCAGUACCUUAACCAUGAAAUGAGUAAGGCAACUCCUAAAUCGGUCUAUGAUCCUUCCACAUGUACUGAAAACACUCUUGGAUGCAACAGAAGAUACAUGCAUUGCAAGGACAUCCUUUGUAAUCUGUGACAGUAUUGGGAACUUGGUACAGUUUCUUUUUCAGAAUGAAAGGACAUCAUACUCUACACCAGCCAUCAAGUCUGGAUUCUCAACUCUUUCUUUUAAGUAUAUAUCCAGUUUCUCCCGCUUCUCUUCCAGUCCAAUCUCUUUUAGCAUCGACUUGUACCUUCGGUCAAUCCUCUUAUAUCAUAUACCAUCAUCAACUAAAUUCGGCGUUAUCAUGGACAGUUCUCGAGAACACUCAGAUGAUUGAGUGUUACUGGAUUUAACUUGAUCGCUUUGCCCACUUGAUGUUCUCUCAUGUCUUUCACUGUACUCUUUAACCAAACUAAGCAACACACUCAUCACAGACUCAUACAUUUCUUUCCCUUUCAAAUUGUCCUCCCCAUAAAGCUCUUCAAAACACAUUCUUGCAAGCACCAUCUUCAAUUAACAUUUUGUUGAUGUUCUUCAGUCCAUCCCAAUACUUGUCAAACUUCCUGAACAUCUCUACUGCCUUUUCCUUCAGUUCUUGAUAUGUGCUUUGGCUCAACCCGAUCAGGUUAGUGGCUAUGAUCACAAUCUAUUUGUAACACUAGUAAGCGUUGAGAGAUGUAGACGCAACCACAACUAGAGUGGAGUUGUAGAAGAUCACUAGAAACCUGCAUAAUAUUUCUAUUGAUUUCCAGUCACUAUACUGAGGAAGUCCUUCCCUCUUUUUCCUUUCUCCACCUUCAAAAAAUGAUCGUUAUAGUGUUUAUCUUCUGCCUCCAUUUUAUCAAACGCAACUUUGAACUUCAGUGUUGUAUUCAACAUCAGAUAAGUGGAGUUUCACCUAGUAUUAGCAUCUAAGGGCAAGCUUCCCAUAGUCAGUCUACCUGGAUCAACUUUCUGCUUAAAUGAUGUUAAACUAUUCCCUGAAACUCUAACAUAGACUAUCGCAUUACGAACUGCAUUCACAUUUUAUUUGCAUCAGCCAUCCCAUCCUUCACAAUCAAGUUAAUGAUGUGUGUAUUACAUUUCAAAUGCAUGGAUUCUCCAUCUAAAACUAAAGCAUCUUGAGACUGUGAAGAGAAUUCACUCUGAAACCUUCUCAUUACGGAUGAAUUCGCAGUAGCAUUGUCGACAGUUUCACAAAACAAUUUACUGAUUCUCCAGUCAGCUAAGACUUCUAAAAGAACUCUAGAGAUUGUAUAACCUUUGUGAUAUCGAUGACAUGUUUGAACCCGAUGAUAAGCUUUUUUAGUCGCCAAGAAGCAUCAAUGUAAUAUGCAAUCACCAUCAUGUAAGUUGCCUCCGUGAACAAUAACAAACACAUUAAGAUCAAUUCAAAAUUUUAUUAUAAUAUCAAUACAUACUCAUUGAAGAUUGAAGAACUUACGGAUUACAUGAGCCACCCAAAUAUCAGUAGUGAUAAAUAUUAUUUGCUUUAAAUCACUUCUUUAUAGCAAUCUCCCUCUGCAAAUACAUCUUCAUAUAUAUAUAUAUAUAUAUAUAUGUGUUUUGGUUAUUUUGAAUUCUAAUUUGGAUUUUGGGUUAAACCAAACCAUACCUGAUAACCAAAGUAUCAGCAUAUCAAAACCAAUCGGUUAUUUUGAUGGAUUCGGUUGGAUUCGGAUUUGGUUUUGGAUAAUAUGCUCAGGUCUAGAUCUUCAUAUCAUAUAUGUAACAUAUCUAAUCUUCACGUAGGGAUAGAAAAAUAAAUCUUCUUUUCGUCACUCAUUUAUUUUCUACUUCUACCCUUUUUCAAAUAUAAUCUCAAAAUAAACUACCAAUACUAUUUUAUAAAAAGAAGUACAUGUGUUAAAAAAAGAGAGUACAGUAGUAAAAUUAAUUAAAAGCCAAGAAAAGAAUAGAGAUAAAGACAAAUAACGAAAGCUCUCAAAGCUCUGUCUGGACGACGGCCGACCCAACAUCGCUUAGUGGCAGGCAGACACUAACAUCUGCAACUAUGAACCUUUAAAGACGUUUAUACCAUUUUGCUGUUCCAUGUCAUUCUCUUGCUUCUUUUUAAAAUCAGAUUACUUUAAAAUCUCAAAAUAAAUUAAAGAUUUCUAUUCCGUGACGAGAUUAACUUAUUUAUGAUAUUCUCGGUCCUUUCAAGUUUCAAUCUCUCAUGUAAUAUCACAAUCUCAGCUGAUGAAAAAAAAAUCUAAUUAGGCUAUAGGUGUGUUAAAAAAAAAAAUAGGCUAUAGGUAAUAGCUGUUUCGAUAAAUGGUACCAGAUACACUGUGAAGAAGAGCAGAGAAUGAACCCCGAAAUGGAAGCUUCUGAAAAAUGUUUAUGCGUUCAGUGGCAUUAGAAAGGGAAGUUGCACAUCGUCUUUCUUCUUCUCUCUUGUCUCAGUCUUCUUUUAUUUACUUGUUUUUGUUUUUAUUUUUAAAUGUAUAUGAGCAAUGGUAAAUUAGGGUUCUAGGAUCUCGUAAAGUUUAUAAAAAUGUUAGAAAAAAGAUGUUGCACAAAAAUAGAUUUUUAUGUUUGAUAAAUUUUUAUUUUUAAUAACUGUAGACUAACUUCCACAAAACUAAGUAAACUUAACGAAUUACUAUUAAUUUAAGGGUAAAUCUUUAAAAUAGCACAUUUCUAAGUUUAUGUCAUAAAAAUAGCCUCAAAAACUAAAAUGAUCAAAAUAGCAUUUUAUCUUUUGAAAAAUUUAAAUUUUUUUAUUUUUCAAAAUUUGAAAUCUUAUCCCCAGAACCCCACUCCCCAACUCUAAACCCUAAAACCUAAACCCUAAAACCUAAAUUCUAAACUCUAAACCCUAAACCUUAAACUCCACCCCUUAACUUUAAACUCUAAUGUCUAAAUUAAUUUACCAUUGGGGUAUAAGUGUAUAUUUAUCUCUUUUGAUAAAAUAUUAAGUGUUAUUUUGAUCAUUUUUAUUCUUAGAGGUUAUAUUUGUGACAAAAAAAAUUUUAGUGCUAUUCCAGUCAUUUUCUCUUAAUUUAACUUUAUUGAAAAUAGAUAAUAUAUAGAAGAUGUAUUUAUAAUAUAAAUUUAAUAUUUUAAAUAUGUGUUAGGAAAUAAAAAAUAAAAAAUAGUAGUACUAUAUUUUUGUGGAACAAAGGUUUAAUAAAUUUAGAAGAAAUUAGGGUAUGGGUGGUUUCUUCGCUACCACCCGCAAACUCAGUUUUUGCGGUUUGUAGCACUUGUUGGCGUUUUGCAACAAUCACUCAAACCGUUCUAAACCUCAUAAAUUCAAAAGUUUGUUCUAGUUAGCGUUUGUGGUUGCGGGAGGAUAAUUUUUUUUAAACAAUAUAAAUAUAAAAAUAAAAAUAUUCAAUAAAAUUUUUAAAUUAGAAUUAUAAAAAUACUAAAGUAUAUCUAUUAUAUUUUAAUUAAUAUUAUAAAUUUUUAAAAAUAAAAAUAUUUUCUAUAAUUUUAAAAAUUUUAAAACUAUAAAUUACUAAAUAUAAUUUUUAGAUUUUGAUAUUUUUAUAAUUAUAUAAAAUGUAAAUAUUGUUAAUUUAUUAUAUUACUGAUGUUGUAUUUGAUAGUUAACCAGUCAUAAGUAUUUUGUAAACGCACUAAUUUUUAAUCACAGAACUAGUCGUACAAAUAUUUUAAAAUCGCUAAAAAUCGUUACUGCAAUCGUAAUCGAUGCGUUUGAAACAGUCCGACCUUUAUACAAGAACUGGGGAGAGUAUUAUCAUAGUAGGUAUAUUAUGGGAGACGUUGAACAUUUUGAAGAAUGAGUUACAACGGCGGCUAUAGCCGUCUCAUGCAGAAAUAUUUAUAAUAGAUUUUUAUGUGAUGCGUGCCAUGAAUUGAGGGAUGCUUUCUUCAACUAUUUCUUCUCUUCUAAUUAUUACUCCUUUCAAUAUUUGCUUUAACGAGAUUAGUUAGGUAUGUAAAUAAAUAGAAAACGCAACCACUUUUUCUUUAAUUGAGCCAAUAUCUUAAAUAUUCUACUAAUAAAUACAUAAACACUCUUUCUUAAAAUAUAGCACUACAAGAAGAUGUACCACUUGUUUAAGAAAGAAUCAAUCCAGCUCGAAAGCAUAUCAAAUUGAUUCUUAUUUCUUUACCAUUUAAACUUAGGUAACGACAAAACUAAGUUAGCUAAUAUGUAUGCAUUUUAUGUCUCAUUAAACUUAAAAGUAGGAUUUUUGAUAAACCAACAUCAAAACUUAUCUUUGUGUACAACCUUCGUAGAAAUUUGCAGACUAAACAGUCUUCAAUGAUCAUAGAAAAGGUUAAUAACCCUGCAAAGCAUCACCACUUAAGUGGUACAUAAUGAUUCUGAGAAGAAUCAGAAAAGGAAUACUCAAUACUAAAACGAAUAUUUUACGGUUCCACAAACGCAGUGAAGAGGAAUCUUGACCAGGAUGAACGCUAAAUAUCUUUACGGGCUCCAUUGAUCUUUUGAUCUUUCUACGUUUAAUCGAGUGUUAUGUUGAAUGCAAACUCCUCUGUUAUUUAUUAGAACCACAUGCUUAUAUGUGUCACGCCAUCUCAACUAAAAAGUAUGCAUAUAGUUUCCAGUAUACUGUUAAUCAUAUUCAGAAAAGUAGCAACGCUUUUAUAAAUUCCUAACAACUACCGAAAGAAAAAACAAGAAUGCUCAUUAAAAUUAAGAAAACAGAAACUUUUCCAAAGCUACAUCUUCUUCCUUCCUUCAAGAGCUUCUUUCUCCAAAUUCAUUUAGAAGCUUAUCUAAAGGUGCUAUUGAUGUAAUUUUGUGGGUAUUCAACAAAAUGGGCAUUACUCUUCUCUAAUUCCAUAAUCUCCCAAAAGAUUUAAAGAGGGUCCUUGUCUUUUUUUUCUUUUCAUACUUGGUAGUAUCUCAUCAUAGCCCCAAGAGAAUG